UGGGGAAUUUUGGAUAAUGGGGGAAACCCUGAUCCAGCCAUCCCGCGUGUGCGAUGAAGGCCUUCGGGUUGUAAAGCACUUUUGGCAGGAAAGAAACGUCAUGGGUUAAUACCCCGUGAAACUGACGGUACCUGCAGAAUAAGCACCGGCUAACUACGGGCCAGCAGCCGCGGUAAUACGUAGGGUGCAAGCGUUAAUCGGAAUUACUGGGCGUAAAGCGUGCGCAGGCGGUUCGGAAAGAAAGAUGUGAAAUCCCAGAGCUCAACUUUGGAACUGCAUUUUUAACUACCGGGCUAGAGUGUGUCAGGGGGAGGUGGAAUUCCGCGUGUAGCAGUGAAAUGCGUAGAUAUGCGGAGGAACACCGAUGGCGAAGGCAGCCUCCUGGGAUAACACUGACGCUCAUGCACGAAAGCGUGGGGAGCAAACAGG
rnacentral:rRNA from 1 species